rnacentral:rRNA from 1 species
CCUACGGGAGGCAGCAGUGGGGAAUAUUGCGCAAUGGGCGAAAGCCUGACGCAGCGACGCCGCGUGAGGGAUGAAGGUCUUCGGAUCGUAAACCUCUGUCAGCAGGGAAGAACGGUCACUGUGCUAAUCAGCAGUGAAUUGACGGUACCUGCAACGGAAGCACCGGCUAACUCCGUGCCAGCAGCCUCGGUAAUACGGAGGGUGCGAGCGUUAAUCGGAAUUACUGGGCUUAAAGCGCUCGUAGGCGGUAUGUCAAGUCAAGGGUGAAAUCCCCGCGCGCAACGUGGGAACUGCCUUUGAAACUGGCAAACUGGAGUGUGUGAGAGGAUAGUGGAAUUCCAGGUGUAGGAGUGAAAGCCGUAGAGAUCUGGAGGAACACCAGUGGCGAAGGCGACUAUCUGGCACAUAACUGACGCUGAGGAGCGAAAGCGUGGGUAGCAAACAGGAUUAGAUACCCUAGUAGUC